rnacentral:lncRNA from 1 species
GGAUGGAGAAAUCAGGCGACGCGGAACCACACCAAGCUCCAAUACUAUCGCCUCGUGUGUUGCCUGCUCCACCUCCUUACGGAUAUGCUGCUUCUUAUCAUGUCCCAGCCGCUGGUGUCCACACUGUCCCUUGACUCUAUCUAAAGCGAGGCAGACCUUGGCUACAAGCCUCGGUCCAGCGCACGAGUGUUCGUCCUGAUUCUUCUAACUGACGAAGCUUUUGUCGAUCUUACUAUUUUCAGGUGCGACCAAUCCAAGUGUUCAUCCAUUCUGGUCUAUUUCUUUGGAUAAUUUAUGGAGGCCGUGGUUCUGGUAUUUGUAUGUAUUCGCAAAUUGUUCACAAGGCCUGGUUAGUAUCUUGGACUGCAAAAGCACAUCUCUUAGUUCUUUAAUAUGCAAUUACUUAGAUUUUAUUGUCCUAAAUGUAUGUAUCCUUAAUGCCAUGGUUUGUUACUUAUGGUUGUUGUCAAAGGAGGAAAUAAUAGGGAGGAUUGGAGAUGCACUGGGCAUGCCAUGGCAACGAAACAAAAGCUUAUUACUUCAAUUCAAUUAUGCAAGCUGAAG